ensembl:misc_RNA 7SK 7SK RNA
GGAUGUGAGGGCGAUCUGGCUGCGACAUCUGUCACCCCAUUGAUCGCCAGGGUUGAUUCGGCUGAUCUGUCUGGCUAGGCAGGUGUCCCCUUCCUCCCUCACCACUCCAUAUGCGUCCCUCCCGAAGCUGCGUGCUCGGUUGAAGAGGACGGCCCUCCCUGAAUAGAGACGGACAGGUCUUUGGUCGAGGGUAUAUGAGUAGCUACGUUCCCCUGCUAGAACCUCCAAACAAGCUCUCAUAAAAUCCUGAAGGAAAAUCAUGAAGGAAAAUGAUAAAAAUCUUGGAACAUAAUUCCUGUCACAAAUGAA